UAGAGUUUGAUCCUGGCUCAGAACGAACGCUGGCGGCGUGCCUAACACAUGCAAGUCGAGCGCUUUCUAAGGGUUUCGGCCCCUUUAGGGGAGCGGGCAGACGGGUGAGUAACACGUGGGUAACCUGCCCCUGAGUGGGGGAUAACUACUCGAAAGGGUGGCUAAUACCGCAUAAGACCACGACCUUGCGGGGUUGCGGUCAAAGGCGCAAGCCGCUUGGGGAGGGGGCCCGCGUCCGAUUAGCUAGUUGGUGAGGUAACGGCCCACCAAGGCGACGAUCGGUAGCUGGUCUGAGAGGAUGAUCAGCCACACUGGUACUGAGACACGGACCAGACUCCUACGGGAGGCAGCAGUGGGGAAUAUUGCGCAAUGGGCGAAAGCCUGACGCAGCAACGCCGCGUGGGUGAUGAAGGCCUUCGGGUCGUAAAGCCCUGUCAGAUGGGAAGAAACCUCUCCGUGAGGGGAGCUGACGGUACCAUCGAAGGAAGCACCGGCUAACUCCGUGCCAGCAGCCGCGGUAA
rnacentral:rRNA from 1 species